UUCGUUUUCUCGCUUUCCCUCAUCCAUGGUACGACGUACUGCAAGUCGCGACUCAGAGGCCGAGAGCUCGCUGGUGAAUUCCUGUCUUUUUCCGAGCACUCCUUUUCCUUCCGCCAUCAGUCGCCGCAGCCACCGCCGUCAUCGCCGUCUUCGCCGUCCGCGGAAAGCGAUUGCGCUUUGAUUGGGCGAAUUUGCGGUCUUUUUAGAUCUCCGUCGCUCUCGUCCGGCGCAGUUCAGCCGCAAACCUAAGCCGUUUUCGUAACAGCCGGGACGAGGAAGAGGCAGAGGCGGAUACCAAUCCGAGGGCCUAAGGGGACGCCUGGGUGGUCAGAGUUUGGGUAGGGGAAGCAACCUGGAUAAUGACUACAGCCGUCCGAGGGGCAAUGGCUCCUACUUCUGUGGUUCGCAAUGAGUUAUUCGUUCGACCUUUUCGAACCGUUAUAGCUGUGGCCAAAGGCUCGUUAGGUUGCUAUGGGUGAUUCCAUGUACGAUGGUUUCCUAAAGUCGUGGUCUGUGCUUCUUGAGGUGCUUUCCUCCCUGUUUUAUCUACUAUUUGCGAGAGAUAUUACAAAGUCACAUCAGAAGCAUUACGAGUUUGUGGGGAGCUUGUUUGUGUUGUUCGCCCAAAUAUUGAGGUGGGGCUUAUCUUAUGAUUUAAGAUUUGUUAGUUGACAUGUCAAGACAUAGCGAGGAUCAAGGAGAAUAUUCAACUACCGAACGAUCCAAGAGAGUUACAUCCUUAGUUCAUGAGUUGGGCUCUGAUUCUUGUUUCUUUCUUUUUGUAUUUUCAUUGGCUGAUUGGUGGGCUUUUCUGUUUUGCAGAUACUAAGCAGAUAGCCGUAUGGACAAAGAAAUUUACAAUCAGCUGGUUCAAGGCUGAAGAAGAAGGGUAUGACGUGAGCAAGUUCCACAAGACUCCACAUAGCGACAGUCCACCGGAAGAAGAAGGACCCAAGGACACUAAAGGCGUUUGGUGGAUCAAGUCCAUUCUAGGAAGAUAGGGGGAACUCAAUUUCACAGCCAGCUUGAUGAAGAUGAUGCAGCAAAGGCUUCAUGGAGUUCUGAGUACAUAUGAGUUUUCAUAAAUAAUCAGCAUAUGAUGUACCCCUGUUUUAAGUUAGAUUGAAAUCUUUUAGUCUCGAGACUACCAUGCGUUUGUUUUGUUUGAUGUAUAUUUUGCUUCUGCUGUGUGCGGAUAUUGUAUCAAUGAUGAGAGAUUGGCAAUGAAUAGGAGCUGUUCAAUUAUGAGAUCA